AAUUUUGGACAAUGGGCGCAAGCCUGAUCCAGCUAUGUCGCGUGUGUGAAGAAGGCCUUCGGGUUGUAAAGCUCAUUCGGCCGGAGAGAAAUCGCGCAGGCUAAUACACUGCGUGGACGACGGUACCGUCAUAAGAAGCACCGGCUAACUACGUCCGAGCAGCCGCGGUAAUACGUAGGGUGCAAGCGUUAAUCGGAAUUAUUGGGCGUAAAGCGUAGACAGGCGGUUGAUUAAGACAGGCGUGAAAUCCGCGGGCUUAACCUGGGAACUGCGCUUGUGACUGGUCAGCUAGAGUACGGCAGAGGGGGGUGGAAUUCCACGUGUAGCAGUGAAAUGCGUAGAGAUGUGGAGGAACACCGAUGGCGAAGGCAGCCCCCUGGGCCGAUACUGACGCUCAUGCACGAAAGCGUGGGUAGCAAACAGG
rnacentral:rRNA from 1 species